rnacentral:rRNA from 1 species
CAAUAGCGUAUAUUAAAGUUGUUGCGGUUAAAAAGCUCGUAGUUGAUCCUCAGUUCCGGACUGACGGUGCACCGCCCGGUGUCUCUCCGUCAUGCUCCGAACAGCAGGGACGAUGACCCUGCCCGGCCGGCUCGCACGGGGUGCUCUUCAUCGAGUGUCCCGCGUGGCCGGCAAGUUUACUUUGAAAAAAUUAGAGUGCUCAGAGCAGGCUACUUGAAUGGCCUGAAUGGUGAUGCAUGGAAUAAUGGAAUAGGACCUCGGUUCUAUUUUAUUGGUUUUCGGAACCCGAGGUAAUGACUAAUAGAAACAGGCGGGGGCAUUCGUACUGCGACGCUAGAGGUGAAAUUCUUGGACCGUCGCAAGACGAACUACUGCGAAAGCAUUUGCCAAGGAUGUUUUCAUUAAUCAAGAACGAAAGUUAGAGGUUCGAAGGCGAUCAGAUACCGCCCUAGUUCUAACCAUAAACGAUGCUGACUAGCGAUCCGCCGGCGUUAUUCCCAUGACCCGGCGGGCAGCUUCCGGGAAACCAAAGUCUUUGAGUUCCGGGGGAAGUAUGGUUGCAAAGCUGAAACUUAAAGGAAUUGACGGAAGGGCACCACCAGGAGUGGAGCCUGCGGCUUAAUUUGACUCAACACGGGGAACCUCACCAGGCCCGGACACCGGAAGGAUUGACAGAUUGAGAGCUCUUUCUCGAUUCGGUGGGUGGUGGUGCAUGGCCGUUCUUAGUUGGUGGAGCGAUUUGUCUGGUUAAUUCCGAUAACGAACGAGACUCUGGCCUAUUAACUAGUCGACGGAUCUCCAGCCAUUGGUGUCCAGUUCGCAACUUCUUCUUAGAGGGACUAGCGGCAUUCUAGCCGCACGAGAUUGAGCAAUAACAGGUCUGUGAUGCCCUUAGAUGUUCUGGGCCGCACGCGCGCUACACUGAAGGGACCAACGUGUUCUCCCCCUCCGAGAGGAGCGGGUAACCCGUUCAAACCCCUUCAUGAUAGGGAUUGGGGCUUGCAAUUGUUUCCCAUGAACGAGGAAUUCCCAGUAAGCGCAAGUCAUCAGCUUGCGUUGAUUACGUCCCUGCCCUUUGUACACACCGCCCGUCGCUACUACCGAUUGAAUGAUUUAGUGAGGCCUUCGGACUGGCGCUCCUGGAUGCUGGACCCUGCCUCUCCCGAGGGGGGCCCUCGCCUCGAGCUGACGGAAAGAUGUCCAAACUUGAUCAUUUAGAGGAAGUAAAAGUCGUAACAAGGUUUCCGU